GCUGGGUGUGGUGGUGUGCACCUGUAGUCCCAGUUACUCAGGAGGCUGAGACAGGAGAAUUGCUUGAACCCAGGAGGCAGAGGGUGCAGUGAGCUGAGAUCACACCACUGCACUCUAGCCUGGGCAACAGAGUGAGAUUCUGUCUCAA
rnacentral:SRP_RNA from 1 species